CCUUGAUGUCACCUUUGGUGUGUGAGGUAUAAGAAAUAUUUUUUGGCCAGCAGCAAAGUUUUUACCAUCGAAGUUCGUCCCAUCGUCUCUUUGUCCUUUGCAAGGAGUCGAUGAUAGAAGGCAAUUUUUGGGAUGCUUGCGGGCCACCUUGCUUGCUGAGAGUGCUUGUCAGCCCCUUUGCCCGCCAUUGCAGCGAUGCAUUUAAGAACGUGGUGAGGCCAAUCCACCCUCUUACUCAGCGAUCAACCGGGAGAUUAACU
rnacentral:lncRNA from 1 species